UUGCAAGUGCUCUUACAGCUAGAUUAAACGACGGAGUCCCGUUGGUCGAUGAGUUCGUUGUUCUCCUCGGUUACUGUUUAUUCACAGGAUCACUCUACUUUCACUUCACCACAUCUGUUAUUCGCGAAAUUACGACGGCUUUGGGAAUUUAUUGCUUCAGGAUAACUCGGAAAGAAGCUUAAAC